CCUAAGUCAUGGUGCACAACUGACAGAGCUCCACUGAGCGCAGGGCUCGAAUUAGCUAGCCAGGGCUCUCCCUGCUCUUCAGAAAACAAAGCUUUGUCUGCUUGUUCUCUUACUUCCUGUACAGCACAGGAGCUGCUGCUGUUAGUCGAUAUAUAAAAAAAACAAUUGCGGCUUCCAAAUUGGCGUAAAAAAAUGAACUACUGCAGCUGUUAACAAGGAUUGAUUCUAUCUUUAGCCAUCGGUGGAAGACUACCAAAAUACGACUGUACAGAAAGUUUUUCCCACUCUUAAUCCUCCAAGAACUGUCUGGACCAGUAAGACCUAAACAUGUCAAGUCCUUUGACCCUUAUAGGUGCAGACAACUAGACUUGAGCUACACGUGA
rnacentral:lncRNA from 1 species